GUCCUAGCUGUAAACGAUGGGUACUAGGCAGUGGGUGUCCGAUGCAUUCACUGUCGAAGCUAAUGUGCUAAGUACCCCGCCUGGGGAGUACGGCCGCAAGGCUGAAACUCAAAGGAAUUGACGGGGGCUCACACAAGCGGUGGAGUAUGUGGUUUAAUUCGAAGCAACGCGCAGAACCUUACCAGGGUUUGAAAUGCACGGAUUAGCCCCCUGAAAGGGGGGUGACGCCUUUUGGUGGAACGUGCACAGGUGUUGCAUGGCUGUCGU
rnacentral:rRNA from 1 species